UCCGCCAGGGUACUACAGGCGUUAGCUUAAAACCCGAAGGACUUGACGGUGUCUCAGACCCACCUAGAGGAGCCUGUUCUAAAACCGAUAAUCCCCGUUAAACCUCACCACCUCUUGUUCUCUCCGCCUAUAUACCGCCGUCGCAAGCUUACCCUGUGAAGGAAUUAAUAGUAAGCAAAAUGGGUAAUACCCAAAACGUCAGGUCGAGGUGUAGCUUACGAGGUGGGAAGAAAUGGGCUACAUUUUCUAAACCUAGAAUAUCACGAAUAGCAUCAUGAAACCUAAUGCUUGAAGGUGGAUUUAGCAGUAAAAA
rnacentral:rRNA from 1 species